GGUAGCAUGGCAUAGUGGUUUGAGUGUUGAACUAAGACUCUGGAGACCAGGGUUCAAUCCCCUGCUCAGUCA
rnacentral:tRNA from 1 species